UCUUUCUUUCUUUCUUUCUUUCCUUCUUUCCUUCCUUCCUUCCUUCCUUCUUUCUUCUCUCUUUCCUCUCUGUCACUGUUUUACACUUUUGAAUUUUUUCUUUGCAUCAGGGGGCCUAUUAGUAAGUGAAAAAUGCCCUAAGGACUCCCCUUUCAUAAAAAAAAAAAAAAGGAUAAGCCUAUCUUUUGCAAUAAGAGGAGAAAGAAAAUACCCAACCCAACAUAAAAGUCUUUAUAGCCUCAUAAACCACAGUACCACCCAGGAUGUUAACAAGCUGGCAUGUUUUGAGUAUCAAAGAUAGAGAGGAAACUGUGUUUACAUGUUUGGCACAAAAACUAAUGAGGAAAGUCAAUUGGCCCUUUGUCUUGAGGGUCUGAAGCGCUGAGCUCUAAUGUUUGGUUUCUUCGUUGGCACUUGUUCAAGUAAUCACUCGUGGCCUGACAAAGCCUCACUUGUGUUUUAUUAGUGGCCAUGCUGAACUCUCCCGCUUGGGCUGUGUUGUCUCUCAAUAGAGUGCUGCAGCAGAGGGCACACUUAUUUGAAAACACUAAAUCAGAGCAUGAUGAUCUUUGCUCAACCAGACCAACCCAGAGAAGAACAAAAAAUGUUUAGAGUAUCGUUUCUUUUGUUUGGAGAGGGAGGGCACUGAGAAUAAGGGGAAGAUAGACCUAGUGCCUGUGCCUGAAUAAUGCAGAAAUGGCAGCAACAAAACCUAGUUUGUAAAAGCAGUGUUUUCCCCUUCUAAUCAUGGAUACUACAUUAACAUCUGAACCUGCUGUAAUGCAUCACAUGGCACAAGCCGGCAGAGCCUGGACUCAGCCUGCAGUGGAAGGAAAUGUCAAGGUGACCCCAGAGAUCUUUUCUUUCUGGAUUACUAAGGUGUCAUGAAAGAACAAUCAUGCUACUCUGAGAGGAAGCUGACUUUGUCUUUGCAAAUAUAAUUUGGUAGAAAGGAAAAGUUUCCAAAGUAGGUCAAAGUACAGUGUUUAUAACUUUUCCCAUUAGGUUGCUUUGCCCCGCUCCUUCCUGCCUUUCUCCCUCCCUCCCAUCCUCUCUCUUAUUAAUUUUUAUUUUCAUUUUUUGCUUCCAUUUAGAAAUAGGAAUGGUUUGGCCCAACCUGAUUUUUUUUUUUUUUAAUCUGCACAACUGAACAAGUAUCCAAACAUUUGGCUGCUAAUUUCAAAGUUCUGAACCAGAAACGAGGACUCCAAAAUCUGGUUGCAAACAACAUUUUUAAGUGACAGUUUUGGCAGUCUUACCUACAGAUCCAGUAAAAAUAAAACCUAGAACAGUUUGUUCUUAAACUAUUUCUAGUACCAGUUCUGUGAAGAAAGUACUGAACUACACAUAAUUAAAUUUAUUUUUUUAAGUGACUGAAAUUUUACAUGUUCAAAAUGAGAAUUUGGGAUAGGUUAAGAUAUAUCCUUGCCUUUGCCAAAUCCUUGAAGUUCUCUCUGGCUGUGUGCCUUGCAUCAGAUCUUUUUAUGAAGGGUGUAAGUGUACAUUCCAUGUAUUCACUGCCACUGAAUAAGUCUGAGUGAUGCCUACACUGAGAAAAUGAGAAAAUGCUAAGUGAGACUUAUUACUCAGGAAAUCACAUGAUAAAAAAGUUAGAAGUUUAGAAUAUACAGAGUUUAUUUAACUAACAUGCCCAAUUUAUUUGACUAACAUGUCCAAUAUGCAGUCUUUUCUUUGCCAAUUACUACUUAAAUGCUUAGUUUUUAAAAUAAAGAGGAUGCCGGUCAGAGUAAUGCUUUAGUUUUCUAAUUCUGUAACACAUUUUAUAUAAGCCUCUCAAACUUGCAUUGUUCUUGCAGAAAGGAAAGCAUUCAUUUUAAGUGUGAGUAAAGUAAUUCCAAAUUCCAAUUCUUGUUGCUAAUAAUAUUUACUUUUGUGAAAUGACCACAGUAGUCCAGAAGCACGAAUGAUCUGUUGGUGGUGUAGAAUAAGCAAAUGUGUGGAAGCUUUCUAAAAAUGACAAUUUUAUAAAGGGAAAAGAAAAAGAGUCCUAACAGAAUGAAUCCAGGAACCACUGAUAUAUGCUAUCAACAAACAUUAGAUUAUGAACAUCAAAGAAUUCCAGAAACUUAAUAACACAGUUUUAGUCUAUUUUCUUUGAGGACAAUUGCUGUUUUGCAUCUCCAUCACAAGACACCAAAGGAAGAAGAAAGACCAUAAAAUGCUCUCUGAAUCCAUAAGGACAACACCAUUGGCACAGACAGGAAUUUUGCUCUGAAGUGACAGCACUCCUCUUCUGAAACACGACCUAAUGACUAUAAAGGGUUUCUUUGGAAACACCAUAUUUUGUCAUUAAACUGUCUUUACCACAUCACAUGCUCCCAAACCAUUCUAUACCAAUGUUCCCAGAGAGUUAAAGAUGGCUCUGAAGAAAAACUGUCAUCUUUAAUAAAGAAAUGCAAUAGAUGUUUCUCAUGGGGAAAGGCCCAAUUUAA